GAGAGUUUGAUCAUGGCUCAGAUUGAACGCUGGCGGCAGGCUUAACACAUGCAAGUCGAGCGGAAACGAUGAUAGCUUGCUAUCAGGCGUCGAGCGGCGGACGGGUGAGUAAUGCUUGGGAAUAUGCCUUUUGGUGGGGGACAACAGUUGGAAACGACUGCUAAUACCGCAUAAUGUCUGAGGACCAAAGCGGGGGACCUUCGGGCCUCGUGCCAAAAGAUUAGCCCAAGUGAGAUUAGCUAGUUGGUGGGGUAAAGGCCUACCAAGGCGACGAUCUCUAGCUGGUUUGAGAGGAUGAUCAGCCACACUGGGACUGAGACACGGCCCAGACUCCUACGGGAGGCAGCAGUGGGGAAUAUUGCACAAUGGGGGAAACCCUGAUGCAGCCAUGCCGCGUGUGUGAAGAAGGCCUUCGGGUUGUAAAGCACUUUCAGUGGGGAGGAAAGGAUAUAAGUUAAUACCUUAUAUCUGUGACGUUACCCACAGAAGAAGCACCGGCUAACUCCGUGCCAGCAGCCGCGGUAAUACGGAGG
rnacentral:rRNA from 1 species